rnacentral:rRNA from 1 species
CAACCUGCCCUUUACUCGAGGAUAGCCCUUCGAAAGAAAGAUUAAUACCCGAUAGCAUAAUGAUUCCGCAUGGUUUCAUUAUUAAAGGAUUCCGGUAAAGGAUGGGGAUGCGUUCCAUUAGGUUGUUGGUGAGGUAACGGCUCACCAAGCCUUCGAUGGAUAGGGGUUCUGAGAGGAAGGUCCCCCACAUUGGAACUGAGACACGGUCCAAACUCCUACGGGAGGCAGCAGUGAGGAAUAUUGGUCAAUGGGCGUUAGCCUGAACCAGCCAAGUAGCGUGAAGGAUGAAGGCUCUAUGGGUCGUAAACUUCUUUUAUAUAAGAAUAAAGUGCAGUAUGUAUACUGUUUUGUAUGUAUUAUAUGAAUAAGGAUCGGCUAACUCCGUGCCAGCAGCCGCGGUAAUACGGAGGAUCCGAGCGUUAUCCGGAUUUAUUGGGUUUAAAGGGAGCGUAGGUGGACUGGUAAGUCAGUUGUGAAAGUUUGCGGCUCAACCGUAAAAUUGCAGUUGAUACUGUCAGUCUUGAGUACAGUAGAGGUGGGCGGAAUUCGUGGUGUAGCGGUGAAAUGCUUAGAUAUCACGAAGAACUCCGAUUG